rnacentral:rRNA from 1 species
GAGAUUGAGAGUUUGAUCCUGGCUCAGAUUGAACGCUGGCGGCAGGCCUAACACAUGCAAGUCGAGCGGUAGAGAGGAGCUUGCUUCUCUUGAGAGCGGCGGACGGGUGAGUAAUGCCUAGGAAUCUGCCUAGUGGUGGGGGAUAACGUUCGGAAACGGACGCUAAUACCGCAUACGUCCUACGGGAGAAAGCGGGGGACCUUCGGGCCUCGCGCCAUUAGAUGAGCCUAGGUCGGAUUAGCUAGUUGGUGAGGUAACGGCUCACCAAGGCGACGAUCCGUAACUGGUCUGAGAGGAUGAUCAGUCACACUGGAACUGAGACACGGUCCAGACUCCUACGGGAGGCAGCAGUGGGGAAUAUUGGACAAUGGGCGCAAGCCUGAUCCAGCCAUGCCGCGUGUGUGAAGAAGGUCUUCGGAUUGUAAAGCACUUUAAGUUGGGAGGAAGGGCAGUAAGCGAAUACCUUGCUGUUUUGACGUUACCGACAGAAUAAGCACCGGCUAACUCUGUGCCAGCAGCCGCGGUAAUACAGAGGGUGCAAGCGUUAAUCGGAAUUACUGGGCGUAAAGCGCGCGUAGGUGGUUGGUUAAGUUGGAUGUGAAAGCCCCGGGCUCAACCUGGGAACUGCAUCCAAAACUGGCCGACUAGAGUACAGUAGAGGGUGGUGGAAUUUCCUGUGUAGCGGUGAAAUGCGUAGAUAUAGGAAGGAACACCAGUGGCGAAGGCGACCACCUGGACUGAUACUGACACUGAGGUGCGAAAGCGUGGGGAGCAAACAGGAUUAGAGACCCUGGUAGUCCACGCCGUAAACGAUGUCAACUAGCCGUUGGGAGUCUUGAACUCUUAGUGGCGCAGCUAACGCAUUAAGUUGACCGCCUGGGGAGUACGGCCGCAAGGUUAAAACUCAAAUGAAUUGACGGGGGCCCGCACAAGCGGUGGAGCAUGUGGUUUAAUUCGAAGCAACGCGAAGAACCUUACCUGGCCUUGACAUCUACAGAACUUUCCAGAGAUGGAUUGGUGCCUUCGGGAACUGUAAGACAGGUGCUGCAUGGCUGUCGUCAGCUCGUGUCGUGAGAUGUUGGGUUAAGUCCCGUAACGAGCGCAACCCUUGUCCUUAGUUACCAGCACGUAAUGGUGGGCACUCUAAGGAGACUGCCGGUGACAAACCGGAGGAAGGUGGGGAUGACGUCAAGUCAUCAUGGCCCUUACGGCCAGGGCUACACACGUGCUACAAUGGUCGGUACAAAGGGUCGCCAAGCCGCGAGGUGGAGCUAAUCCCAUAAAGCCGAUCGUAGUCCGGAUUGUUCUCUGCAACUCGAGAGCAUGAAGUCGGAAUCGCUAGUAAUCGCGGAUCAGCAUGUCGCGGUGAAUACGUUCCCGGGUCUUGUACACACCGCCCGUCACACCAUGGGAGUGGAAUCUGGCAGAAGUAGGUAGCCUAACCGCAAGGAGGGCGCUUACCACGCUGGGUUUCAUGACUGGGGUGAAGUCGUAACAAGGUAGCCGUAAAUGAGAGUUUGAUCCUGGCUCAGGAAGUAAAAGUCGUAACAAGGUAGCCGUAAAUGAGAGUUUGAUCCUGGCUCAGGAAGUAAAAGUCGUAACAAGGUAGCCGUA